rnacentral:rRNA from 1 species
UACGGAGGAUGCAAGCGUUAUCCGGAAUCAUUGGGCGUAAAGCGUCCGCAGGUGGCAGUUCAAGUCUGCUGUCAAAGACUGGGGCUUAACCCUAGAAAGGCAGUGGAAACUGAACAGCUAGAGUGCGGUAGGGGUAGAGGGAAUUCCCGGUGUAGCGGUGAAAUGCGUAGAGAUCCGGAAGAACACCGGUGGCGAAGGCGGCCUGCUGGGACAGUGCUGACGCUGAGGCGCGACAGCGUGGGGAGCAAACAGG